rnacentral:rRNA from 1 species
UACGUAGGGAGCAAGCGUUGUCCGGAAUCAUUGGGCGUAAAGCGCGCGUAGGCGGCCCUGUAAGUCCGCUGUGAAAGUCAAAGGCUCAACCUUUGAAAGCCGGUGGAUACUGCAGGGCUAGAGUCCGGAAGAGGCGAGUGGAAUUCCUGGUGUAGCGGUGGAAUGCGCAGAUAUCAGGAGGAACACCAAUAGCGAAGGCAGCUCGCUGGGACGGUACUGACGCUAAGGCGCGAAGGCCAGGGGAGCAAACGGG